UACGUAGGGACCAAGCGUUGUUCGGAUUUACUGGGCGUAAAGGGCGCGUAGGCGGCGUGUUCAAGUCAGCUGUGAAAUCUCCAAGCUUAACUUGGAACGGUCAGCUGAUACUGAUGUGCUAGAGUGCAGAAGGGGCAAUCGGAAUUCUUGGUGUAGCGGUGAAAUGCGUAGAUAUCAAGAGGAACACCUGAGGUGAAGACGGGUUGCUGGGCUGACACUGACGCUGAGGCGCGAAAGCUAGGGUAGCAAACGGG
rnacentral:rRNA from 1 species